rnacentral:lncRNA from 1 species
CAACAAUUUCAACCUUAAAAUAUGCUUGAGGUCGUUGGUCACUUGGGCAAGUUUUUGGAGUUUAUUUAUGAUUAAAACGUGUGCAAUUACCUGAAUCAAAUUUCAAAAACAUAUAUGUUCUAGUUGCCAACGAGGGUUCUCUUUUUAAUAGUUCGGAAGCUUUAGAUAUAUACAUACAGAUCCACCGAGGGUAUAAUCUGGCAUUCAGAAAGUAGGGAUACUCUCAUAGCCUUUCAUAAAACACAAUACAGACAGUAGCCCAUCUCCACAACAAACCAAAACCACCUUCGUCAUACAUAUCAUAACUGUCGCAACCCUUUCGAGGCUCUUAGCUCAGGACUCGCUAGAUCCCGGAGGGGUUCACAUCUCUCUUGCCUGCACCUCAAAGCAUCUAAAACCAUAGCCGGGUGUUUCAAGUCCUGCCGUUCUGAUGCUCUGCCUUAAAGAUGAGGCCAAAACAACCACAACCUCGAACAGACCAAAUGCACAAUCAAGGGAAACAGCAGGAAAAUGGAAGAUGUGUCAGCUGUCAGGUGUGGCCCAUCGCAAGAAUGCUGGACCUCCGCUGAGUUUGACUUGCAUAUCAUAUCGUAAAAAUCACCCACAUCCUCUGAUCAACAAACGAACUCACAGCUACGCGGAAACAUGAUAAGUUGAUACACAGGCCCCUAAACUCACGAACUAAAAAUCCUCAAAUAAGAAGGUUAGCACACUACCAUUGACACACAAGAAUAAGACAGUCUGAGACAGUGCUGAAUGGCAAGAGGAGCUAUUUGUUGCUGCGCAAAGAGCAUUCAGCGGCGCUUCUUCACAAAAAUUAGGGUUUCUCUUUUGCCACCAAAUCUAGGUUAUUUUCUUUUUAUGAGCUAGUAGCUCCUAUCUAUGCAAUUUGCUGCUAGAUCAUGGAAGCGUGUUAUUAUUAGAAUUGGCUAGUGAAUAGCAGAUGCAUCAGAAGAGGACUUGGUUCUGAAUGGAAUCUUACAAUGUUUGUCAAGGAUAUCACAGUAUUUCAUUCCAGCAAACCUUGAUUCAAAAUAAUCUUAAGUAAAUUUUUGUUUCAGAGAAUCUUAAUAAUAUUCUAAUCCUACCAAAUCGUAAGCAAAUUUUUAUCUUGAUAAUUUUUUGAAAAUUUUGUUUUUUCUCCUAAAACAAUUCUAUAAAAAUCAUAGUUCUAGCAGAUCUUAAUUCUAAUCUUGUUUUUAAGUAUACUUUAAUCCUCACAAUUCAAAAAAUUGAAGAAUUUUUUUGUAAAUAUUUUGCAAUCCCAAGACAUUAGAGAUUGAAACCUCUUCUUUCUUCUCUCUCUCUGUUUUUAUUUUGUUUUAUUUUUAUUUUCUUUUUCUUUUUUAAUGGAAUAAAUGGUAAUCACCAAAAAAAAAAAUUAAUAAAAAUAUUUUGCAGGUGGAUAGAGAAGAAUUCAAGAAUCUACUAUGGAUAAAUUGGAAAAAAUCAAUUUUACUUAAAUUUGGUGUUUAUUCAAUGAAUUUAUUUAAUCUUAGUACUUGUUUUAUUUAGGUAAAAAUUAAUAAUUUUUAGUACUUAUUUCAACUGAUUGAAUUGCAAAAAAUGCUUCACCUUUGAUGUUUACUCUUAGAAAUUCUUGCAAAAUAUUGUAAUUAGUUAUUUACUAAAUCUGCAGAAUAAAUGCCACUUUCUUUCCUAUGCUACUUUGCAUUCAUUUUGAGUUAAUGUUAUUAUCAAUCUUUGAGCUCAUGUCUCCUAUCUAAGCUAGCUCCAAUCAUAUUUAUUGCUAAAUGUGCAAUUCUUGUACCUGUUCUCCUUUUUGGAAACUAAUUUGGAAAGUUUGUUUUCUUUCUACUUAGCCACUUCUUAUUGCUAUACUCAUGUCAACUCUUUUUUAAUGUACACACACAAAAUUUAUUUUUGUUUUUAAAAAAACCAUUAAUGUUAUUUGAUCUCACUUACUUUAUCAUUAUAUUUGUUUCUUUAUUUUGUAAUAUACCUUCAUCUUGACUUAACUUUUAUUUUUCUACUUCUAACUUGUUUUAUAAAAAGAACAAAAACUAAGAAUUGCAUCUAUUAUUUUUUCUUGUUAAAUGUUAAUGCCUCUAACCAUCUGUAUUGUGCCAUCAAUUAAUUCCAUUAAUCUCUUAUCACAUUAUUAAUGUAGUUGGCUUAGCUAGGAUUGUGUAAAGUCUAAUGUAUCUCUCACUUUAAGUUACUCUUAUUGUGUUCUCUUUGCUCUUGUUUCUUUUGUUUAUCUUUUAUUUCUUAGCAUAUUUUUUUAAUAAGAAUUGUUUAUCUUUUUUUCUUUUUUUUCUAUUGUAAUCUACUUACCAAAGAAAUCUAUAAAAAAUAUUAUACAUAGCAUCUUAUAUGGUAUUAUUAGAGCUAAACAUUAGAAUGUAUUACAUUAUUAGAAUUUGGAUGUUACAUAGACUAUAUUUUGCAUCAAAUUAGCAAGAAUAAGAAGACUAUGAAUUAUUUCUCUUAUAUUAGAAUCUAUCUUAAAUCUAAUCUUUUUAUUUUUUAAUUAGAAUUUUUUUCAAUUAGUAGAAUCUCUUACAUCCAUCAUAUUUUUUUUCAAUAUUUUUUUGUAUGUUUUUGUUAUAACAUCACCACUAAAUUGUCUAUGCAAGCUUAUAAAUGUCAACUUUAAGCAUUUUCAUAAAGCUCUAUGUUUUUUAAAAAAGCUAUACUUAGUUUAAAUAAAAUUAGAUCUUUCAAUGUAGGUUACCAAGAUUUUGGAACAAACCAAAAAAAAACUCUUAUAAUCUAUUAAUAUUAUUUGAAAGCAUAUCCAAAAUAUGUUUAGAUUGACAAAUUAAGAAUGAGACAAAAUCAUUAUAGUUUAUACUUUUUUUUUAAUUAGUUUUAUAGAUUACAUUUACCAACUCUAUUAAAUAGAUUUACUAAUUCCUUUUGAUCUACACAACUUAAUCUAAUUAUAAAUUACAAUACUUUUAUUCUAUAUAAAAUAAAAAUGAAACAUAUUACAUUUUAAAAUAGUUAUAAUUAAAAAUAUUUAUCCAAUCUAUAUAUGAAACUUUAUCCAAAGGCUAAUAAACUUUCAAUUUGCAUAAAAUUAUGAACUUAAAACAUUCCUUGUAGUUCUACAAAGUGUAGAAUUAUUAGAUUCUUAAAUUAACAUGGCCAAAGUGUUCAAAUUUCUACAAUCUUGAAUUAUGUUCUAUUUUUAAUAUUUAAAAGUUUGGCUUAUUUUUUCUAGAGAAUAACCUUGACUUCAUCUACUUUAAUAUUAAAUUUAACAUUAUAAUUAAUCAUAUUAAUGUUCUCUAUCAAUUCUUUAUCAUAUCCUAUUUAAGAACUAAUCUUUAUCUUUUUGCUUUUGUAUUACAAUUUCUUUUGACUUCUCAAAGAAUCCAACAUGAAAUCAAAUACAUAUAUAUAUAUAUAUAUAUAUAUAUAUACAUACUUUUUUAUGAUCUUUUUAAUUUUUAUUUAAUAUCUAUUAAUAUAAAAUAAUCAAGAUUUAUAAUCCUUCUACUAUUAUAAUCUUCUUCUUUUUUUCUAGAUUGUCUUAAUUUUAAAUCAAACUUAUUAUUAUAACAUUCUUUAACAUGUUAUUCAAUAAUCUUAAUUCUUGAAUAUACUAUAAAAUAACAAAACACCAUCAAAAAAGCUAUAUACUUCUAUGAAACUAAUGAUAGUAUUUGUAAAUUUUUAAGAAUUCUUAUUUAAUUAAUUACAUAUAUAAUAUUUUUAGAAUCAAGAAUAUAGAUUUUAAGUUUUUUUGUAAGUUCAACUUUUGUUACAAUAUCAUAAUAUCCUUAAUUUUUUUUUAAAAAAAACUAAUAUAGAAAUGAUUUCAAGAUAUUUUAGUAAAAUUCAAAAAUCUAAAACUAUGUAUAUUUUAUUGAUUUGACAUCUUUCAUUUACAAUAAAUUUUAAAGUAAGUUUAAAAUUUUAAAGUAAGUAGAAAUUUAAAAAAUAUUUCUAUUAUUAUUUCUUCAAUGUUAAGAUAAAUAGUUUUAUAUUUUUUUAUAACAUUUUCAGUAAUUGAUGGAGGUUUUGUAUGAUUAAAAAAUAUUGAAUUGAAAAAAUAAAUUAAAUUAUUUGUAAAAUUAUUAUAUAUAUAUAUAAGAUGUUUUUGUUUAUAAUGAGAUAGUCUUAUUUCAUAAUUUAAAAAAUGUGCAAAGGACUUAUAUACCUUUAAACAAACUAAGCAAGAUUCUAUACAAAAUAUUGUUGAUUUAAAAAGAUAAUGAAUUAAAGAUUGAACUAAUUUCAAUUUAAUUUUACUUCUUCUUGUAACAUAUUAAUUUUAUUAAAUUAUUUUUUACAAUUAUUAUAAAGUAGCUUAUUGAAAUUUUGAUUUUAAAUAUUUUUGGACUUUUAAAAUUUAAAUUUAGUGAAAAAGUUUAGAUCAAAUAUCCUUAAUCAGACGAAAUCGAUAAUUGUUUGAAUAACUCUAUUUAUUACAAUUACGUGGUCUAUAAAUUUAAUACUGUUGGGCAGCAAUAAAAAUAAGUUGAUUUCUAACUUGUUUGAUUCAUAUAAGAUAAAAUAAAUAAAAUAGAGUGUUAAAUUUAUUAGUGCUUUAAAAUAAAUAAAAGAAUGUUUCAAAAUACAUCUUUAUAUAAUAUACUUUUAUUUGUUAUCAUAUUCUGUAAGAGUAGCUAAAAGAUACAAGAGGAUUUGUUUUAAAUUUUAAAAAUCUUCUUAUUUUCCAAUGCAAAAAACAUCAUAUAUAUAUAUAUAUAUAUACAAAACUAAAUAGAUUACUAUUUGUUAUUUUUAUCUUAUCUUUUUAAAUCAUAUUUUAUAUACUACAUAUUUUUUAGAACAAACAUUUAUUUCAAGCAUAUUUUUUAAUUUACGAAUAAUCUAAAAAAUAUCUUAGUCAUUUUUUUAGAGCAAGAAUAACAACAAUGUUAUAUUUUUUAUGUUUGACAUUCUCAGAACUUUACUAUUCUUGAUACUUCAUUAUAUAGUGUUUUUUAAUUUCUUCCCCUCAUCUCCAACUUUCUAUUAUUAAAUAAUAUAAUGAUUUGAUAGACAAUGACAAUUAUGUGUCAGAUAAUGGUCAAUAUAAAUAUUUUGACUUGUUAACUAUUUUCAUAUUAUUUUACUUAUAUAUUUUAGAAAUUCGAUUAAAAUGUUCAACUCACAUUCAAAUACUCAAUUUAAAAAAAUUAAAUUAAAUUGCAAAAACUUAUAUAAGCACAAAUAGUAUUCUUUUUAUCUAUCCUAAUAUAUAGAUAUUCGUAACAUGACAUUAUGUUUUGAGUGAAACUUAGAGAUUACAUUCUCAUGAAGAAAAAAACGUAGUUAAGUUUAUUGUCACAGAAAGCAACAUCUUCCACUCAACAAAGGCAACCUCUAUUCAUUGGAGGCAUUGCCUGCAGAAAUAGUGAUGCAAUAUACAUCCAUCCAUCAUCCACCAUUUCAUACACUAAGUCAGGGCCCUAUCACCGGGGCUCCUAUCACCGGAGUCCCGUGAAUUGGAUUGCACUAGCGCCACGCUUGUUUGCAGCUUUUGACACUAGAAUUUGUGUUAAGCUUAACCGGAGGGACAUUGUAUGGUAUAUUCACAUGUAGCGAAGGCAAGUGUGGGAUGGAUAGCUGCUAGAGGUGGAUGUUGUAGUCACCAAGGAAUUAGGCCUCGGUGUUGAGCACGUUGCAACGCUAGGCAUGCUUCAUUGAAUCAGUAUGCCACUGAACUGUUCCUUACCUUGUUUCGGCAAAAUUUAGCAUCCGGAAAGAGACCUGAUGAUGAAACUGACCUCGUGCUGCAACAAGGUCUGAGUUGCGGUGGAGGACAUGGGCUCACUUAGGUAUGUGUGUGGCGGCGAUGAGAAAGUCCGGGGCUGCUCAAAUAAAGGUUCAGUCCGGCAACACAGUGCUGAACCUGUCAUUGAGCAGGACAAUGCGUUUAGCUAUGGCCUUAGAGAACCACUUCGUGGUAACUUGUCCCAUCGUGCAGUCUGCUUGGGAAAUGAUAGGUAAGCAGCUAGCAAAUUUUGUCGCAAUGAGAGAUGCAUCAGAAGAGAGAAUGAGACAAACAUACCACACGUAUCAUCGUGCACAUGGAGGAAAUUGCAGCACCGUUUUCAGUAAAUUAGAAUUCAUUUAUCUGCUCGGGAGGGAUUCAUAGACGCUGCGCUUAUUGAGCUUUCCAGAAGCAUUACCUUAAUAUUUAAGGACGAAACUGUUCUGUCGAGGAUAGUAACGAAGCAGUGUUACAUGAUGGCUUUCGAAGGUUGCCCUCCCAGGUGCUGUUAGAUACUUGAAAGAACCUAGGUUUGUCACUACGUUUGACAAUGUGUCACUGAUCUGUCGAGUAUAGUGGCAGACUGAACUAAUCAUGAAAAUAGGACUCAAGUAGGUACCUUACUUUCAUUUGUCGACAGCAAGAAGAUAGAAAUGAGCUGCUGGAGAGGAAAAGUCUGAUGACCCAAUUUAAGAAAUCAUACGUGUUUAUAACGCGAUGUAAAUUUAAGUAAAUCAUACGUGUUUAAAUCGCGUUACCCUGCUCAUCGCAAAUUUACUCAUACGCGUUAUAAACACGUAAAUUUUUUUGCGCCUGAAUAAUUUCGAAUGGGCAUUCGCUUCUUAUUUGUAUGGACAUGUCAAACCACCGUUCCAGCAACAGUAAACUGCAGUUACAUGUUAUGUCGAUAUCCAGUGUACGAAUUAAUCAGAUCGGUCGUUACCUGAUGCACGAUUUGGUCCCAAUGCGGUUUUAAGCUUACGGAUGGAGUCCAUCAGGAGAUAGGGGCUCGUUGUGGAAAGAAUUCCACUAUGCGCCAACAUCGAGUUCCAUCUAGUAAGUUCGUUUCUGCAAACAUUUCUACGAGCAAGAUUUACUGCGAGACCUCACAUGAGAAACUGCUUCAGAUGGCUCAGAAUUCGUUAUCACAUCUCAGCAGCGUCAUGCCUCAUAUUCGGGAAAAAUAGAUAUCCUCAUAGAUUUCGCAACGCAUACAGUACAGACACCAACCCAUCUCCUCGACUAAUGAAAACCACCUUCGUCAUACAUAUCAUAACUGUCGCAACCCUUUCGAGGCUCUUAGCUCAGGACUCGCUAGAUCCCGGAGGGGUUCACAUCUCUCUUGCCUGCACCUCAAAGCAUCUAAAACCAUAGCCGGGUGUUUCAAGUCCUGCCGUUCUGAUGCUCUGCCUUAAAGAUGAGGCCAAAACAACCACAACCUCGAACAGACCAAAUGCACAAUCAAGGGAAACAGCAGGAAAAUGGAAGAUGUGUCAGCUGUCAGGUGUGGCCCAUCGCAAGAAUGCUGGACCUCCGCUGAGUUUGACUUGCACAUCAUAUCGUAAAAUUCACCCACAUCCUCUGAUCAACAAACGAACUCACAGCUACGCGGAAACAUGAUAACUUAAAGUAAACCCAUGAAACCACAUAAUGAUACAAUAGACUUGAAAUCACGAGAGCGGAUACACAGGCAGGAAGAGGACAGACGGAUACUUAGACGAGGAGCAGGAGGAGCUAUUUGUUGCUGCACAACGUGCACUUUUCGAUCCUUGUCCACAAACAUUAGGGUUUUCGUUUUUCGCUUCGCUGCUGGUUUAUAGAAGUAUGAACAGAGACACCGUUUCUGCAGAUCUGGCAGAGGGGGGCUUGAUUCUGAAUAGAACUGUCCUUCAUGUUCUGUAUGAAGGACAUUGCCGCAUAUACUCAUUACAAAUCUGAAGAAAGGUUUAUCAUAUAUGCUAUCAAAAUUAUUGGGAAAUUUCAAUCCAAACGAAUUUUAAGAAUUUUUUUCUACUUAAAUCCUUCUAAUGAAAAAUCAACCAAUGUAACAUUAAGGACAAAUAACAAUUAUUUUUUACACAAGAUGAUGACUUGGUAGAAUAUUAGUAUUAAAUACAUCAUUUCUUUUGAGUUAUAGAAUCUUGUUGAUUGUUACAAUUAAGAAUUAUAGGAUCUUCUUGAUUGUAAUUAAUAAUGCUAAUCAAUGGUUGAGUUGGGGUGAAUGACUUGCUUCUACACUCCUUGCUAUGGGGUUCUUAAGUUUGUUUUUAGGUUUUAUUUAUUUCUUAGUUUCUAAAAAAGUGUAGCUUGUCUGGAGAUUGUAGAGUUUUGUUUUUUCUUUUUCUCUAUUUUGUGUUAAGUAGUAUUUUUAACUUUGCAUAUGACUUACUUCUUGUGUAAUUAUUAUUGUCUGUUUAUCUUUAAUUUGCUAGUAAGUGAGACUUCAAUGCACCAUGAAAAGUAGAUGUUGCCAAAGUAGUGUCUUUUUUGUCAUAGUUGCAAAAGUAAUAAGAACAUUUUGUUGUGAAUUUUUCACCAAGUAUAAAUUAUAAUUUUCUUUAUCUUAAUUAUAACUUGUUAAACAUAGAAACAAGAUUAAUUUUUUAUAUCAAAGUUUUAAGACUUAUUUAAGGUUGUAUAAUAUCUUAUAGAAUUUGCACAUUAGAUGUGUAUUACUUGGAUUGACAAAGCUUUUAUAUUACUUAACGUAAACAUCAUAUUUUAGCUUUCAAUAAAGAAAGAUUAGUAUAACAUCUAUAUAAUACAGUUUCUACUUUUUUUUGUACAACUAGUACAAUUAAUAUUUAAAUAAUGCCUCACUUGACUACUUAGACAAAUCUAUAUGUAUAGUUAAUUCCAAUGUAUUAUUUAUGACCUUGGAAGAAAAAAAUUAAAAUAUUAGAAAAAGUAUUUAUUAUUACUAUUAUAAUAAUAAUUAUUAUUAUUACUAUUAUAAUAAUAAUUAUUAUUAUUACUAUAAAAUUUUUAACAUAUUAUUAAUUUAUUUAAGAUAAACUACAAAAAUAAUUUUGGUUUUCAUAUAUAUAUAUAUAUAUCAAUAUAUUUAAGAUUUCUACCAAUUUAAUACUUUUAAAAAAAUAGUGAUAAAAUUAGAUGGUUUUUAGAAAUAAAUGUAUUACUUUAAGAAUAAAACUAGUAGCUUGAUAUACAAGAAAUAAAAGAACAAGGUAGAAAUGAGGCUUCUUAAAUUUUGUAAUGGUUAACAAAAGAAGGGGCAUCUUUUUUUCUUCUUCUUCUUUUUUUUUUUUUUUUUUUUUUUUUUUACAAAUUGACUCCUUCAAACAAUAUAUUUUGAUAAAUUUUGCUAAAUGUAUAGACUAGUACCAAUUAAUCAUUAUUAAAUAAAAGAAGUCAAAAACUAAAGAUUGCAUAAAUUCUAAUCGAAUGUUAUAUGAUCCUAAAACUUAUUGUUUUUGUUUUUCUAUUAGAAGUAUAUUUAAGACUUGUCUUGAGAAUCUUAUUAAGAAUGUUCUUUGAAAUGAUUUUGUACAAUCUGAAUCAUAAUUAAGUGAAAAAAUAUGAAUUACAAUUUUAACAUGUGUUAUAGUCAAGAAUUAUACAUGAUUAUUUUUACAUACGAUUCUUAACUAUAUUAUAGUAACAUUGAAAUGUGAUUGUUGACUUGGUUGUUUUAAUUAUCAUAUGUUUUUGGUACAAUAACUUGCAAGGGUAGCUAAAAAGCACAUUUCUUUUUAAUACUUAUUUAACUAUGAUUAGCAUUUUGAUAAUCUAAUUAUUUCAUAAUUCUAAAAAAGAAGUACAAUCAUACAAAAGAAAUCACACUUUUGUUGAUGUAAUAGUAUUUGGGAAAAAUGUACAUUCUAUGUACAUUUAUGCUUCAAACAAAUGCCAAUAGAUUUUCUAGUUAUUAUGGUUAGACAUUAUAAAACAAUUAUUCUUUUAAUAUAUAAAAUUAUUGGGCCUUACUUCCCAUCCCUUCCUGCAUUCUUAAAAGGUGAUUUAUACCUCAUUGUUUUCAGAUUCUUUUCAUACAAAUAUUUGCAAAAAUAUCACUAAGUUCUCUACUCUCAACAAGUGGAUAUUCGUGAAAUAUUGUUACAUUUGUGGAAGAAUUUGACAAGGCGUCCUCACAAUAUGCAUUGUAAGAGGCAACCGAUCAUCUUCCACUCAACAAUGACAAACUACACACUUAACCUCCACACCGUGCAUUGCAGGGCAUGCUUCGUGUAUUAGGUGAAGACUUUGCCAUUAAUUGCUUGCAUUUUUUGUAUAUUUUUCAAUACCAUGUGGGCAAAUGUAACAACUAAGAAACUAUUUAUUUCAUCUUCAUCUUGCCGCAGAAGGCGAGUGAUGGCAUACUACUAGUUGUGGAUUUUAUCUCCUCCCAGGAAUCUGGCCGGAGUAUUUUGCACAAGAAUUUGGCAACAAUCAAGAUGGGCCUUGUGGGAUUGUUUUCCUUAGGGCUGAUGCAAUUUAGUUACUUUAUCUGAACCUCUAGUUUUCCAUAGCACAAUACGAUUGAUCAGGGCAGCCAAAACAAUUGUCAUAGAACAGCUCCUUACGAAGUUAUAGCGAUGACGAUAUCCUCAUAGCCUUUCACAACGCACACAGUACAGACAGCAACCCAUCUUCUCAACAGAUCAAAACCACCAAAAGUCAUACAUAUCAUAAUUGUUGCAACCCUUUCGAGGCUCUUAGAUCAGGACUUACUAGAUCCCGGAAGGGUUCACAUCUCUCUUGCCUGCACUUCAAAGCAUCUAAAACCAUAGCUGGGUGUUUCAAGUCCUACAGUUUUGAUGCUCUACCUUAAAGAUGAGGCCAAAACAACCCAA